AAUGUCUGUAGUUUCCGAGCAAAAAUAUCUAAGGCCUUUGGGCUAUGAUAUUGCGCCAGAACGCAGAGCGUUCUCAGGGCGUGGCGAGAAAUUGCCGCACCUUCCUCAUUUGAAAAGGAGCUGAAGACAAAUGAA
rnacentral:ncRNA from 1 species